UAAAAAACUGAAAUAACGUUAAAAAAUAAAAUGAAAUACAAAAAUUGGAAAAAUGAAUGAACCAAUCGAAGUAUGUAGAUUGAAUAUCCUGGUUUUCCGUUCAAACCGAAGCUAUGUACAGGUUUUUCGGUCAAAAUUCUCAUCAUACUUUAUAUCUCAAUCGUUAGGGUCUUCGGCUAGGGUUAGAUAGGUCCCAGGUCGGAUACGACUACAGCACCUCACAAUAAGUGCUGUAGUCUCAUUUUACUCGAUUUCGAAAUUUAUUCACGCGAUUAACCCUUUUCCACCAUCCCCUAGUUGCGAACCCCGACAUUGCACACCUUUGUAUUCAAUUUUUUUAGCUGUACGUUUCACAAGAAAA